rnacentral:rRNA from 1 species
GACGAACGCUGGCGGCGUGCUUAACACAUGCAAGUCGAACGGAAAGGCCCUGCUUUUGUGGGGUGCUCGAGUGGCGAACGGGUGAGUAACACGUGAGUAACCUGCCCUUGACUUUGGGAUAACUUCAGGAAACUGGGGCUAAUACCGGAUAGGAGCUCCUGCUGCAUGGUGGGGGUUGGAAAGUUUCGGCGGUUGGGGAUGGACUCGCGGCUUAUCAGCUUGUUGGUGGGGUAGUGGCUUACCAAGGCUUUGACGGGUAGCCGGCCUGAGAGGGUGACCGGCAAAAUGGGAACGGAGAACGGGCCAGGAUGCCUCCGGGAGGAAGAAGUGGGGAAUAUUGAACAAUGGGCGGAGGCCGGAUGAAGAAACGCGGGGUGGGGGAUGACGGCCUCGGGGUGGUAAACCGCUUCGGCCGGUGACGAAGGGUGAGUGACGGAAAUGGGUAAAGAAGAACCGCUUACUUACUG